CAGCAAGAGAACCAAAUUUUGCCUAAAAUCAUUCUUUUUUUUUUCAUCCUUUCAUUAAAAUUUUAGGGGAAGUCCUCUAAAACACCAAGGAAAUGCCACCCUCAGCUCUACACAGAUGCAGGAGUCCUCCAGCUCUACGGCACACGACUGGAGCCAAGGGGACACAAGCUCAUUCCGUGACCAAAAUGUUCCUGCUCGAUCAUGGCAAAACGUGAGACUACGUGUAUGAGACUCCAGAUCUUCUAAACAAAACAUCUCUUUCCUCUCUUGCAGUAAUUAGUCCUGUAGCAAUUAAGCAGAGGGAGCAUUUGCAAUCAUUGUUAUUAUCUUCAGAGUUGUUCACUGUGCUUCAGAGCUUGGAGUAGGUUGUACCGCUGUUAUUGCAGGCUAUCUGCAGAUGCAGGGCAGUGACAUUUAUAAGGGAUUAUAUUCUCCUAGAUGGAAAUAUAGAUUGUGUCCAUGA